GACGGGACAGGACAGGAGAGAGUGGUGCUGUGAGGAGACCCCGCACAGCUGGCUCACCCCUUGCUGACCCGGAGCUUUUCUGAGACGUUACUCCUGUGGCUGGCCCUGCGGCCAGACUGCAGGACUUGGUGACUCAGCGCUUUCCUGAGGCAUCUCCCAUCCCUGCGGCCGGUGCCCUCGUGGCCUGGCCGUGGGACUUGGUGACCUCCAUCCCUCACAAGGAGUCUCCUGUCAUUGCGACAGGAGCCCUUGAGACCAGAGUGCAGGACUUGCUGUCCUGUGGCCUUCCUGAGACUUCUCUGUCGCAGGCACCUGGAAGGCGCGACUGCUGCACCCGCUGACUUGGACCUUUGCCGAGGCAUCUGUCUCCAACGUGCCCUCGAGGUCAGACAGCGGGAUGGCAGGCAGAGUGCUCAGCCUGUUCAGGAUGCUUCGGGGGAAGAAAAAGAAUGGCGCUGCAGCUGCCCCAGCGCAGCAGCCUGCAGAGCCAGAGCAGUUGCAACCACUGCAGGACGAUGCAGGAAAGGAUGGGACACGAGAACAGGAUCCCACCAGCGGACGCUUCCACAGAGCAGCACAGGCACUGCGGAGGUUCCUGCGUGUUCGGCGCAGAAAGACCAGUGCCACCGCCACC